rnacentral:tRNA from 1 species
UUAAUUGAAACCAAAAACGAGGUAAAUUAUUGUUAAUAAUUUCAUUGAUUUAAUCUAAUCCAAUUAAA